rnacentral:snoRNA from 1 species
GACCUUACUUGAACAGGAUCUGUUCUAUAGGCUAUCUCUGUAUCCUUGACUUCUAAGGAGACAGGAAAUCAAGUCUGGUGGAUGAGCCAUGGCUGCUCGUCCAGAGCGUGAUUAACAUACUCAUUGGCUCGGCCAAUCUGACAGUAGAUGAUCGUUCUUGGUCAGCUUCGGCUGGCUAGGGUGGUCGAGCAGCUGUCUGACAGACU